GAGGAAUAUUGGUCAAUGGGUGCAAGCCUGAACCAGCCAUCCCGCGUGAAGGACGACUGCCCUAUGGGUUGUAAACUUCUUUUGUAUAGGGAUAAACCUACCCUCGUGAGGGUAGCUGAAGGUACUAUACGAAUAAGCACCGGCUAACUCCGUGCCAGCAGCCGCGGUAAUACGGAGGGUGCAAGCGUUAUCCGGAUUUAUUGGGUUUAAAGGGUCCGUAGGCGGAUUGAUAAGUCAGGGGUGAAAUCCCACAGCUCAACUGUGGAACUGCCUUUGAUACUGUUAGUCUUGAGUAUAGUUGAAGUGGGCGGAAUGUGUCAUGUAGCGGUGAAAUGCUUAGAUAUCACGAAGAACUCCAAUUGCGAAGGCAGCUCACUGGAGUGUAACUGACGCUGAUGCUCGAAAGUGUGGGUAUCAAACA
rnacentral:rRNA from 1 species